rnacentral:rRNA from 1 species
CGCUCUUGCCAACUAUAAGAGGUCCGCCUGCCCAGUGUCAUUCGGCGGCCGCGUACCCUACCGUGCGAGGUAGCUCCUACACUUGUUCUCUAUAUGGGACUCGUAUCCCGGCACCACGAGGGCUAUACUGUCUCCUUUCUCCCUCGUGAAACUUUCCCCCCGUGCAGCAGCGGGGAUUAUUAUAUAAGACGAGAAGACCCCAUGGAGCUUUAAACUCAUCACCCACUUCCUCACUUCUAUGCCCCACCCAUAUAAGGAACCUGUGUGAUAGUUUUGGGUUGGGGGGACCACGGAGUACAAUUUAACCUCCACGACAAAUGGGCUAUGCCCUUAUCUACGAACUACAACUCUAAGAAUCACAAGCUGAUGUUUAAUGACCCGAUAAUUCGAUCAACGAACCAAGUUACCCUGGGGAUAACAGCGCAAUCUACUUUGAGAGCGCCUAUCGACAAGUAGGUUUACGACCUCGAUGUUGGAUCAGGGUAUCCUAGGGGUGCAGCCGCUCCUAAUGGUUCGUUUGUUCAACGAUUAAAACCCU